UUAACGCGUAGAUGCCACAGAGAGCUCACCUCGACUGGAUGUGUCCCUCGUCUGUGCACACGUGCAACUGCAACCGCGACUCCGCGUCGGGUUUAAGGGGCGGGUAGAAGCGUCGAGAGCGAGGUAGAAGUUUAUUGUUGAUCGCUAAUUAUCCUAGCCGGCAAUUACAUACGAUUACCUGACACGCAGGCACAUCAAUGCGAGUCCCUGGUGCCGCGCGUUUCGCGAUAUUGCGCGUGUAGCGCGCGCGAGAGCUCGCGAGUAAGCUAAGAGUCACGUCGUGUGUAGUGUGUUCGUGAAUGUGUGUUUGCGCUGGUGGAGAACGCCGGGAAGAGGGAGGAGAGCGAAACCGGUGUACCCGACAGCGUGACGCCGACCGUAGAGGCUCUUUCUCCUUUUUCUCGCCUCUCCCUCUUCCUUCACCUUUCGUUCGGCUUCCCCGGUACAACCUCGCGCGGGAUCUUACGCUGCGAGUUUGUGUACGAGCCGCUAUCACCGCUCGAUCUGCGCGGCUUUAUCUCGAACAGCGACGUUGGUACCACCGGUAGCGAGGGCUGUCGAUCGAGAAUGUUCGAUCAUUCGGAGAUUCGCCGCUAGGCUAUGAUCCUCCCGAUCCAGAGUGGAACCAGGCUUCUUUGUAUUUUUUGGUUCCAUGGUUUCGUUGCAUCAGCUCGAUGAAGUUGAAUGGAACUGAUUAAUCGUCGUUAUUGCGAGGUUGUUUGGGCAAAAUAUCAAUUUAUCGUUUCGUUAGAUCGAUUAAUUCUCUUAUGUUAGGGAAAUUUGUUGAUCAACUAAACGAUAAAUGUCAAUUUCUA
rnacentral:misc_RNA from 1 species